rnacentral:rRNA from 1 species
GAUGAACGCUGGCGGCGUGCUUAACACAUGCAAGUCGAACGGUGAAGCAGAGCUUGCUCUGUGGAUCAGUGGCGAACGGGUGAGUAACACGUGAGCAACCUGCCCCUGACUCUGGGAUAAGCGCUGGAAAGGCCGUCUAAUACAGGAUAUGAGCGCCUACCGCAUGCUCGGCAGUUGGAAAGAUUUUUCGGUCUGGGAUAGGCUCACGGCCUAUCAGCUUGUUUGUGAGGUAAUGGCUCACAAAGGCGUCGACGGGUAGCCGGCCUGGGAGGGUGACCGGCCACACUGGUACUGAGACAGGGCCCAGACUCCUACGGGGGGCAGCAGUGGGAAAUAUUGCACAAUGGGCGAAAGCCUGAUGCAGCAACGCCGCGUGAGGGAUGACGGCCUUCGGGUUGUAAACCUCUUUUAGCAGGGAAGAAGCGAAAGUGACGGUACCUGCAGAAAAAGCGCCGGCUAACUACGUG